UACGGAGGGGGCGAGCGUUAUUCGGAAUUAUUGGGCGUAAAGGGCGCGUAGGCGGCCCGGUAAGUCAAAGGUGAAAUCCCUCGGCUCAACUGAGGAACUGCCUUUGAAACUGUCGGGCUUGAGGCCGGGAGGGGGUAGCGGAAUUCCCAGUGUAGCGGUGAAAUGCGUAGAUAUCUGGAGGAACACCGGUGGCGAAGGCGGCAUCCUGGACCAUGACUGACGCUGAGGAGCGAAAGCCAGGGGAGCAAACGGG
rnacentral:rRNA from 1 species